GCGAAAGUAGCUCAGUCGGUAGAGCAUCAGCUUCCCAAGCUGAGGGUCGCGGGUUCGAGCCCCGUUUUUCGCU
rnacentral:tRNA from 1 species